UGCCGUCUACAGUGUACCCGCGUCUCGAGUUUGAUCCUGUUUCUCCACUCCUAUAAGGUAGGAUCGCUAAUGCACGUGGAUAACCUACCUAUAAGACUGGGAUAACUUCCGGAAACCGGAGCUAAUACCGGAUAAUAUAUUGAACCGCAUGGUUCAAUAGUGAAAGACGGUUUUGCUGUCACUUAUAGAUGGAUCCGCGCCGCAUUAGCUAGUUGGUAAGGUAACGGCUUACCAAGGCAACGAUGCGUAGCCGACCUGAGAGGGUGAUCGGCCACACUGGAACUGAGACACGGUCCAGACUCCUACGGGAGGCAGCAGUAGGGAAUCUUCCGCAAUGGGCGAAAGCCUGACGGAGCAACGCCGCGUGAGUGAUGAAGGUCUUCGGAUCGUAAAACUCUGUUAUUAGGGAAGAACAAAUGUGUAAGUAACUAUGCACGUCUUGACGGUACCUAAUCAGAAAGCCACGGCUAACUACGUGCCAGCAGCCGCGGUAAUACGUAGGUGGCAAGCGUUAUCCGGAAUUAUUGGGCGUAAAGCGCGCGUAGGCGGUUUUUUAAGUCUGAUGUGAAAGCCCACGGCUCAACCGUGGAGGGUCAUUGGAAACUGGAAAACUUGAGUGCAGAAGAGGAAAGUGGAAUUCCAUGUGUAGCGGUGAAAUGCGCAGAGAUAUGGAGGAACACCAGUGGCGAAGGCGACUUUCUGGUCUGUAACUGACGCUGAUGUGCGAAAGCGUGGGGAUCAAACAGGAUUAGAUACCCUGGUAGUCCACGCCGUAAACGAUGAGUGCUAAGUGUUAGGGGGUUUCCGCCCCUUAGUGCUGCAGCUAACGCAUUAAGCACUCCCGCCUGGGGAGUACGACCGCAAGGUUGAAACUCAAAGGAUUGACGGGGACCCGCACAAGCGUGGAGCAUGUGGUUUAAUUCGAAGCAACGCGAAGAACCUUACCAAAUCUUGACAUCCUCUGACCCCUCUAGAGAUAGAGUUUUCCCCUUCGGGGGACAGAGU
rnacentral:rRNA from 1 species